CGAUUUGAAUAAGGAAAUAGAUUUGGCCUCGGUAUUCCCACUCCUGUUUGCCUUUGUUUUGAGUGAUGCAGGAGUGGCUUUUCCUCUCUCUAUUUCCAGAGGCCUGCUUUGUUUCCUCCCAGGUGUGUGUAACCUUGGCUAAAAAGCCACCUUGUUUGGCUAAUCUUGGAGCGCACCUGCUCUAAUCUCCUCCGGUCACCUUCACUCCAAAGUCCUCUCUCGCCUUCCCUGUUUGCAGGCCGCAAGGGCUCUGGAGACGUCCAAGGGUCCGGCAUUGGCCUGGUUUGAAGAGGAGCAGCUGGGCCAUAGGUGCCCUCCUUCCUCAAUGGGGAUUAGGCUCCCGGAUUGUUUGUUGGCCGCGCUUCAGGGCUGGCACGCCUGGAUCUGUCGGCAGGUGUCACACCUUCGGCACCCGGAUCCUCCCAGGCAGGUGGGACUCCCGAGGCGGAGGAAGCGGAGGCGAAAGCAAAGCGCUCCUGGCUACAGAAAGACAGCCACCGGGUCCGCCUUGGCUGGAGGUGGAUCUCCAGAACUUCUUCCCCCUUGGAGGCCUAUAAGGACCCAUCCAUGGCCAAGAAAGAAGGCCUCCGGGGACGGCUUUCCCGACUCUUCUCACAAAGCGAGGCCAACCUCAAGGAACUGCGGACGCAAGAAACCGGGAACGGCUCAACCUCGGUGGGACCAAAAGAUACCCCGAAAAGCCGCAGAAGGAAAAGGUCCAGGAGACAAAGAGUCAUUGCAAAGGAGAAUGAGGAGGAUACAAGGGCGACGUCUCCGAAGGUGACUCCGGACAAGUCUUCUCCUUCCAGAAAAUCCCAGUACUCUGCCUCAAAGGUAAGCUGCAAAGGAAAAGAGAAAUAGAUAAU
rnacentral:lncRNA from 11 species